CGCGUAGGCGGGAUGGCAAGUCGGUCGUGAAAUCCUUCGGCUCAACCGAAGAACGUCGAUCGAUACUGCUGUUCUUGAGGGUUGCAGAGGAGACUGGAAUUCCCGGUGUAGCGGUGAAAUGUGUAGAGAUCGGGAGGAACACCGGUGGCGAAGGCGGGUCUCUGGGCAAUCCCUGACGCUGAGGCGCGAAAGCGUGGGGAGCAAACGGGAUUAGAUACCCCGGUAGUCCACGCUGUAAACGAUGACGACUAGGUGUGGGGGGGGUUCAGUCCCCUCCGUGCCGCAGCUAACGCAUUAAGUCGUCCGCCUGGGGAGUACGGCCGCAAGGUUGAA
rnacentral:rRNA from 1 species